rnacentral:rRNA from 1 species
CGUCCUACGGGAGGCAGCAGUAGGGAAUAUUGGACAAUGGGGGAAAGCCUGAUCCAGCAAUGCCGCGUGAGUGAUGAAGGCCUUAGGGUUGUAAAGCUCUUUUACCCGGGAUGAUAAUGACAGUACCGGGAGAAUAAGCCCCGGCUAACUCCGUGCCAGCAGCCGCGGUAAAGGGAA